GCUUCCUUAGUAUAACUAGUACGGUUGACUUCCAAUCAACUAGUCUCAGACAGAUCUGAGAGGAAGUA
rnacentral:tRNA from 1 species